rnacentral:rRNA from 1 species
UACGUAGGUGACAAGCGUUGUCCGGAUUUACUGGGCGUAAAGAGCGCGCAGGCGGUCGAUCAAGUCGAGUGUGAAAGCCCCCGGCUCAACUGGGGAGGGUCAUUCGAUACUGAUCGACUCGAAGGCAGGAGAGGGUAGUGGAAUUCCCGGUGUAGUGGUGAAAUGCGUAGAUAUCGGAGGAACACCAGUGGCGAAGGCGACUACCUGGCCUGUUCUUGACGCUGAGCGC